AUUUGCUUUACGGUAAACAUACGUGGGCAUACUCGUAUUUAUAUUAGCUUGGAAUCCUUCACAGGAAUGAGAUUGAAAAGAAAUUAUAGGACAGAAAGUCGUAACAUAUAAAUUCUGAAGAAAUCAAAACGUCUUUAUCACAAGCGAACAGGUCAGGAUAAUCUAAUGGUAGACAUACAAAACAAACUUGAUAACAAGGGCAAUUUUAUUCAUGAAAUUAGACACCUACCUCCUCGCAACAUGCUGGUUCUGGAGGUUGGUUAUAAACUUCAAAAUUAUAUACGGCUAGAUUUAUACAUUCUGCCUGCUAUCUCCACAGGUAGAAGAAUCUAAACCGGGCAGACUAUCAGUUCCUGGUGGCCACGCGACUCCUUCCACAUCUAGGCAGCCCGACCCAGACCCAGACCCCUACCCCAUCCCCAUCCUACCGACUGCCAUCCAUUGCCCAGUAAACAAGAUCCCAAAUAUGAUUUGCCUUUGGUUUGGAACUAAAGAUGAGUUAGCGGAACACUUGAGGGGUGCACACUCGCAUCUUAUGAUCAACCGAGACCGAGAGGUUCUGGAACUUCUAAAGAUGGCAACACUGCACGACGAUUCUUUGAAAAUCCUGAAAUAUCGGCGAAUAUUACCGGAAUUAAUGAAGAUCUUAUUCGCCGAUUUUUAUAUAAUUUUUGUACACCUUGUCCUGUGGAUAGACAGUGAAUGUUGAGGCAUUUGAUAAAUAUACCAUGGAAAGAGCAAAUUUAUAUGUUAAUUUAUAUCCAUGGUACUGUAUGCCUACAAGUGUCCACAAGAUACUGAUCCAUGACGGAAAAAUUACAGAAUCUGCCUAUCGGAUUGUUAUCUAUGCCCAAGAGGUCGGCACAAAGAUGUGCGAAGAUACAGACUCGAUCACACCAGGAAAUGUUCGCACGAAAGAAAUUUAGAAGAUAUCCUGCAAAUGUUACUAGUUUCUUCUGAUUCUUUAAUAUCGCAGAUUAAACAGCCCUCGAUAGCAAGGAAGACACAUUUACCUUCUGAAGUACUCAAAUUAUUGAAGGAACCGGAUAUCGAUACUGAUAAGCAACAACAUGAGGACGAGGAAGGAUACAGCUCUUCGGAUGCUUCGGAUGUCUCUUCCGAUGAAGAAUACUAACAUGA